UCGACCUUAGCUCAGUUGGUAGAGCGGGAAGAUUGUAGUUUGAUUAAUCUAAAUUGGAAAUCCUUAGGUCGCUGGUUCAAAUCCGGCAGGUUGGA
rnacentral:tRNA from 1 species